UUUAAGUAAACAAAGUUGUGAAAAAAAAACAAAAAAAGAAUAGUAUUUGCCAUGGCAAGCCUAAACUUCUGGAAAUACAUUUUGCUGGAGGGGACUAGGGCAGGCACUAUUCACGUGAAUAGUAACUGCCCUAGGGCUCCCAUUGCCAUGGCAAGGGGCUAACUGGUGGAAAUGCUCAAGGAAAAAAAUUUGGGCUCUUUACAUGGCACAUCAGCACUUGUUGCAAAAAGACUAAAAUAGCCAUGGCACAUUAUCAAAACUAAUAGAGCUAUUAAUGGAAAUAACGGUGGGGGUAAAGUGGAACACGAAACCACGGUCAAGGGGGUUAAGUGGGUUAUUUUAAUUUUAGAGGAUAAAGUGAUAUUUAACCAAAGUUUCAGGGGGUACUACAGUAAAUAAGCCUAAAUAUAAUCAUUCACGUUCACUCCAUGUUAGAGCAUUCACAAUGAUGCUCUCUAUUUCUUAGCUAAAAUUUAGCUAAAAAUAUAAGAAAACUAUUUUAGGAUAUUUUUAGCUAAAUUUUAGGAGUUCUCUAAAAAAAUUUAACUCCAACCAUACUCCCUAAUUUGGAGAGUCAUAAAUGCUAUAACUCUUUUUUGAUUGGGCCAUUUCUAUUAAAAAAAAUUAAACAAAAAAAUAGUUAGCAUUAAAUAAAGGUUUGAAAUACUCAUUAAAUAAAGCAGUAUUAAAUUAUAGGGAGCCAUUAGGAGUCCUUUCUCUCUCUUCAGAUUUAGGAGCUCCUAGAGGACUCCCUAUUUUAGGAAGUGAAUAUGUAGCAUAGUUGGAAUUGCAUUUUUACGAUUCCUCCCUAAAAUUUGUUUAAGGAGGUGGUUUAGAGAGCCCAUUGUGGAUGCUCUUAUAACUUAGCACUCGUCACUCACCAAUAUUAUUUGAGUGGCGCUAUUUCCACACGUCUAUUUUAUUUUAAAAAUAAAUCUACUUGUUUGUAAAAUGACUUGCUUAAGGGAAAAAAACACCUAUUCUCUCUCAUCCCAACCAGACCCAAAUCAAAAUUUCAAUAAAGCUUUAAAAUUUCCAACUGGGUCCAAUCCAGUUCCAUCAGAUUUCUCCUCAGUUUCUGAACCCAAAGGCACAAGCUUUCUGUUCCAUUUGCUCAGUUUGCUCUUCGUCCUCUUUCUAAUUCUGGCAUUUCUCUCUGUUAUUGUUUUACCAUGACCUAUUUCCUUAAAACUCAAGCAAUUGAUCACACCCAGAUCAAAAUCCAGCAAAACUUCAGAAUUUCCAACUGAGUCCAAUCAAAUUCAGCAUCUUUCGCCAAAAUCUCCAAAGAUAACACAUUUAUAUACACACCUGCAGUAAAUAUGAUGCACGCAAAAUCUGACUCGGAUGUAACAAGCUUGGCACCUUCAUCGCCAAGUUGAACAAAUGAUAAUAGGUGCAAAUCUUCCAUCCCCGUUAUAGUUUCUGGCAUUGAUGAAGAUAGGGCAUCGAGAGAAGAGAAAAGGCUGAAGCUACCCACAAGGAAAAUAUAUCAAUAAAUCCAUAUCAAAGAGUAAAAUCCUCUGAAGUUGCAACAAAUGCUUACUGGAAGAUUUUGUUUUUUUAUUUUUUUAUUUUUAUUAUUUGUGUUUUCACAUAUUUUUUUUCUUGGGAUUGAGGAUUCUGAAGAUUGAAUUUUGUUGUAAGAGAACUGAAGAAAAGAAAAUACUGGAUUUUGUUUUUCAUUCAGUAGAUAGACGAUAAACAUUGAGAGCAAUUUUUUUUAUUUUUUAAUUAUUUUUAAAAAGACUUUACAGAGGAUCCCCAUGUGUGUUUUUUUUUUUUUUUGGAUAAGGAAAAAAGAACUACAACGGGAAACCACACGGGCACGCAGGCCCUAUCAAGUCAAAAUAAAAUGGCACAAAACAGCCAUGUGUUUUGAUUGACAAGGAUUGAAGGUUUGAAGCAUGCUUUGAAUUAAAGUAAGGAGAAUUUACUUGAAUUAAUAAUUAAAUGGUAUUUUAGAAAUAAUGGUGGGUGUAAAGAUAGAAUUGUGUUUUUUCCAAUUUAUGUGAUAAAUGGGAAGAUAAAGUGAGUGAAAAAAUAGGACUCGGAGGUGAAAAUAGCAUCAUUCUAUUAUAUAAGAGUUUUUUGGUCAUAUAAUAGUUUCUCAAUUAAAACUAAUAAAUUUUUGAUUUUAUUUGUAGUGAUAACUUUUUCUUUGAAAUCAGUGAGGGGGAUUGGACUGGGUAGUUGUAAAAAGUGAGAUAUCCAUAUGAAGUGUGCUUGUCGGUUUUUCUUUUUCUCUUUGGAUGAUGUGUGUAGGCAACUACAAUAAAUUGAUUGAUCCUUGUUAAAUUUGAAGUUAAAAAAUAAAAAGUUAAUUCCUUCCUUUUUUUGCUUUCAUGGAGCUCAUCCGCACCAUCUUCUAUAGGAUUCUUGUCCCUUUUUCUUUU
rnacentral:lncRNA from 1 species